rnacentral:rRNA from 1 species
UUAAAAAGCUCGUAGUUGAACCUUGGGCCUAGCCGGCCGGUCCGCCUCACCGCGUGCACUGGCUCGGCUGGGCCUUUCCUCCUGGAGAACCGCAUGCCCUUCACUGGGCGUGCUGGGGAACCAGGACUUUUACUCUGGACAAAUUAGAUCGCUUAAAGAAGGCCUAUGCUCGAAUACAUUAGCAUGGAAUAAUAGAAUAGGACGUGUGGUUCUAUUUUGUUGGUUUCUAGGACCGCCGUAAUGAUUAAUAGGGACAGUCGGGGG